AUUCUGUUAGUGCUUGGAGGCUGUGGACUCAUGUGGAUCUUGGGGUCAGGUCUGACACGAAGACAAUCAACCGAUCUCCACAGACCACUGUCGUACCUCUGAUGCGUGUCCCUGCUAAUUGUCCAAGAGAUUUCAACCUGUUGUCGUUUGAUCCAGACGGGGAUGAGGUCAGAUGCAGAUAUGCAGUACCAACGGACGAGUGUGUCACAUCAAGUGACCUUCCUAAUGACUUCACUCUACAAGAGAACUGCACCUUGUCAUUUUGGGGCAACAGUAGUACCACUGGAACAUAUGCAGUUCAGAUAGUGAUGGAGGAUUUCCCGACUCAGACCAUCUCUCUCUCCUAUACUGACGGAUCUCAAUCUAUCAGGACCUCAAACAACACACUCUGCAAACUACCUGUUCAGUUUGCAGUGAGAGUGGACCCCCCGGUGACAUCCUGUAUGGAGGGCUUGUACCUACCUAUGUUCCUGUCUCCAACGCCAGCCCAGGGUGCACUGCUCUACGCCUCUGCAGACCAACCCCUGGAAAUCACUGUCAGAGCACAGGCUACCCAGUCCACGGUUUCAGAGCUGUUGGUGAGUGGACCUUCCAGUAUCACAGAGAACACCACUGUCCCAGGAGAAUACCUUCUAAGGUGGACGCCCACUGAGGAUGAGGAGGGAGGGUACUAUCCUGUGUGCUUCAUCGCUCAGGGAGUGAACGACAGUUCCAUGUAUCACUCUGAGCUGCGCUGCCUGAUCGUCAGGGUUGGAAACACAAGUGCCAUCAGAACAACAGAGGAACCAACAACCUCUCCUCCUCUGGCAAUAAACCUCACAACCACAGAGGAACCAACAACCUCCCCUCCUCUGAUAAUAAACCUCACAACCACAGAGGAACCAACAACCUCCCCUCCUCUGACAGUAAACCUCACAACCACAGAGGAACCAACAACCUCCCCUCCUCUGACAGUAAACCUCACAACCACAGAGGAACCAACAACCUCCCCUCCUCUGAUAAUAAACCUCACAACCACAGAGGAACCAACAACCUCCCCUCCUCUGACAGUAAACCUCACAACCACAGAGGAACC
ensembl:lncRNA